rnacentral:rRNA from 1 species
AAGUCCCGCAACGAGCGCAACCCUUAUCCUUUGUUGCCAGCGUUUCGGCCGGGAACUCAAAGGAGACUCCCAGUGAUAAACUGGAGGAAGGUGGGGAUGACGUCAAGUCAUCAUGGCCCUUACGAGUAGGGCUACACACGUGCUACAAUGGCAUAUACAAAGAGAAGCGACCUCGCGAGAGCAAGCGGACCUCAUAAAGUAUGUCGUAGUCCGGAUUGGAGUCUGCAACUCGACUCCAUGAAGUCGGAAUCGCUAGCAAUCGUAGAUCAGAAUGCUACGGUGAAUACGUUCCCGG